UUCACUUUAACCCACACGUGGCGUGCUCUCUUGCAGGUCUUUGUGCUGGUGAUUGACCGCGUGUGUCCUCCAAAACGACAUCCGUCUGUCAAGCUAGUGGAGGCCCUGGGCGGCCGUCAUGCGCCCGCACCUGCCAGGGCCACCGUAGGGCAGGCACAGGGACGGCCAGAAGUGGGGACAAGCGCAGAGGAGACGGAGCCUGUGGGGAGAAUCUCGGACGCGUUGUUUACGGACGGAAGCGAGCUCCGUCAACGGCAAGUCCACCCGACGGAGGAGGGCUGAAGUAGCAUCCCACAGCGCGAGAGAGAGAGAGUCUCUGUGAAUUGUUUUCACUUUGUGGGAAAAUACAGCAAUUUCUGUCACUCUUGAUUUUUUUUUAUAAGUUCUUUCAGUUUGGAAUGUUGUUUUUUUUUUAUUAUCGGUCACUUUACGUUUAAUGACCUUUUGUUUGAUUUAAAGCUUUCGUGACUGCAGUGAUUCAUAUUCUUGCUUCUUUCGGUAAAGUCACGUUGAAGGGAUAACAAUAAAAUAUUGUUAUAUAUAUUUUAUUGUUAUCCCUUCAACGUGACUUUACCGAAAUAACCAAGAAUAUGACCUUUUGUUUGUCAAUGGGGAAACCCAGCCUUUUGGAUGAAUUUAUUUAUGCCGCCGAUGUGUUCCAUCAAACGUAAUUCCACUGCAUCGCACCGUGCGCGAGCUCGGCACAUUUCGCCGAACAAUCCAAAUGACGACCCAGUGUCCCCCCGUCUAAAGUUAUACUUGUGGGGGGGGGGGGGGUGGGGGGUGGUCUUGCACUGGUUACACAAUGCGCUCCUUUCUAGCAGCAUGCUAACAUUUCCAAUUACGCAGAAAACAUAACCAUUGCGGUGUCUGUUUUUCUUCAAAGGAUCGUUUUGCUUUGUUUGUGCCGUCUUUUUUGCUAUUCUUUAGUUGCAGGAAUUUUCACCGUGUCGUUUUGCGUUUACCCUUCGUGUCGAUGGGGUUCUUUUAACUUGACAGCGCAAAAAACUCGGCCUGACAAAAAAAAAAACACGCUCGCAGGGAAUGAGUGUCUGUGGAACGGGAGGAAUGCUGUGCAAGUGCCAUAUGGCAUUCCCGCUCAUCUCGUCCGUUAAAAUCCCACAUUUUCAUAUUCUCUAUCAUCGCCUUUCGUCAACCACGGCCAACAUCCAGCAUGGGUGGGGGGGGGCGGGGCCCAUGCUAGAUGAAGCGCCUCCCCAAGCCACCGCCAAUUUUAGCGGUAACGCAAAGCAGCACGUAACAUCUGCACACAAGAGCCCGUUGUGAUCCCGAUUGAAAUUAAUUUGCUUCGGGGUUUUUGUUUAGUCCAAAGUAAACUUAAAUCCAACGCAUCCGUCAAUGAGACUGCCCCAAAAAGGGGUGGGGGGCUGAUAUAAUAGGCGAUGUUCGGGCAGUGGCCCUUUAUCGAAGGGCCAAAUUGAGAAUGGCCAUUGCUUGAAAUGUCUUUCUUUUAAGGCGGUGUUGUUGACAAACUUUUGAGUUGUGGCUUUUUUGUGCCAAUACACCGCUGGUAAUGUUAUCGGCAGCAAAAGUUUAAAAUAAAUUUUGGAAUGCUGUUCUGCUCGCGUUCCUUCAUGCCGUGGAGCUAAUGACAGACCCAGGGUGUUUAGCGUGGGUAAUAUUGGUGCGGUCUGGAACGGGAGAGGGGUUGUUGUGGAUUUCAAUACAUUAAUUGCAGAGAACAUUCUCACUGAUGAACAGAUCCAGUUGAGCUCGUUUUCCUGUCACUUUAAUGAUCCUCUGCUCCCAUCCUGCACACCUUUACGAUGGGGGGGGGAGGGGGAAACUCACACGAAGUUACGCAGCCUCUGAUUUUUAUUUUAUUGCCACAAAGGUAGCAUACGGAACCUGCGACCAUGUUAUAAUAUAGGUGUGGUUGAAAUGCUUAAUGUGCCUAAAA